CAAUACAGAUAUCAAGGAGCUAUGAUGAUGAUGAUGAAGAUUGUGGCAGUAUUUCUACUCGUGGCUGGAUUCAAUGCUCAAUCACAAACACCACCAUGUGUUAAUAAAUUUGACACUAUGAAUGGUUUUGAAAACAUGUGUAAUAUACAUACUACACUUGGGCAAGGAAACUGCCUAGGAGCAAAAGAAGAAACACUUAGAGAAAAUUGCGCUAAAGCUUGCGGUUUCUGCUAUUAGCUAACUGGGUGCUAAGUGCAGAUACCUCUAAUGAUGACGUGAUCACGUUAUACUUGCUCUAACAUGCAGUAGCGCGGGACCGCAGUACGCGUAGACACAUGUGUGAUCACGUGAUACCUGAUGGGUGGAGGUUACGAGGACAAUUAUUCAUUGUUAUCUUAAUCAAUGGGCACAAUAAGUUGAUUUCUGUAAUCAUAGCUUACAAUCUUAUAAUGUGUUUAAAACGAUUCCGUAUUACUAUACUAUUCUUCUAAACUGUAACAAUUUUCCUGUAUUUGAUGCUUUUAGCAUUUGAAUUUAA